UACGGGGGGAGCAAGCGUUGUUCGGAUUUACUGGGCGUAAAGGGCGCGUAGGCGGCCACCGCAAGUCGACUGUGAAAUCUCCGGGCUUAACCCGGAAAGGUCAGCCGAUACUGCGGGGCUAGAGUGCAGAAGGGGCAACUGGAAUUCUCGGUGUAGCGGUGAAAUGCGUAGAUAUCGAGAGGAACACCUGCGGCGAAGGCGGCAUCCUGGACCGGCAUUGACGCUGAGGCGCGAAAGCCAGGGGAGCAAACGGG
rnacentral:rRNA from 1 species